GACGAACGCUGGCGGCGUGCUUAACACAUGCAAGUCGAGCGGAAAGGCCCUUUCGGGGGUACUCGAGCGGCGAACGGGUGAGUAACACGUGAGUAAUCUGCCCCUGGCUUUGGGAUAGCCACCGGAAACGGUGGUUAAUACCGGAUACGACCACUUCUCGCAUGGGAUGGGGGUGGAAAGUUUUUCGGCCAGGGAUGUGCUCGCGGCCUAUCAGCUUGAUGGUGAGGUAAUGGCUCACCAUGGCUUCGACGGGUAGCCGGCCUGAGAGGGUGACCGGUCACACUGGGACUGAGACACGGCCCAGACUCCUACGGGAGGCAGCAGUGGGGAAUAUUGGACAAUGGGCGGAAGCCUGAUCCAGCAACGCCGCGUGAGGGAUGACGGCCUUCGGGUUGUAAACCUCUUUCAGCAGGGACGAAGCGCAAGUGACGGUACCUGCAGAAGAAGCACCGGCCAACUACGUGCCAGCAGCCGCAGUAA
rnacentral:rRNA from 1 species